UUUUGUUUUGAUUUUAGGCCGAUUUUACAUUUGAUUGGCUUAAUUUUUCUCUCAGUCUUGCCGAUUAAUUUGAUAUUUUACUUGUUAUACAAUUGCAUGAUUAUAUUUAGAGUUCAAAUACCGCGUUUUUCCUUCUUCUACUUCUCCUCUCCGACUUACCUAUUUACGAGUUUGUAUAUCAAUUUUAUUUUUUCUUAAAACUCUAUUAUUGAAAUUUUGUGUUCCACUUUGUUCUGGAUAUGGGUAAUUUUAAUUUAAUGAUUUCUCAUUUUCAAGACCUUGCAUUUACUUCGAGGAGAAGGGAGAAUUACAAAUAUGCAGGAUGGAGCAUAGGAAACUUCAUAUUAAAAACUCUACCAAUUUUUGUCAUAUUGUUAUAUGGCAGUUUCAGGUAACAUAAAGGACAUACGCCCCUUAUAGACUUUGCUUGGCUGGAGUAUCACGUGUGAUAAAAUUCUUUUGCAUAGACUUCCAAAAAUUAACAAGUCCACAAUCACAAAUUGUGUGACUGACUAAGGUGAUAUCUUAUAUAGAGUAUAAAAUUAUAGAUGUUUUGACAUUAAAAAUUAGAUUAAAAUUAUUUUGAGGAGUGGUGGUUGACUUAUACGUGAAAUAUAUCCAAUAUAGUAUAUAUGUGGCCAUAAAAAUGUUUUCAACAUUAAAAAGUUAGCUUUUCAGGAUGUUGUGUUUGGUUUGUUCUCGAAUACGAGGAAUUGUUCUCUAGCACCUCAUUGUAGAGAGUUAAACUAACUCUAAAGAUUUAAUUCACUAGCAGGGGAAAUAAAAGAGGUCUACGAACCCAUAGACUGCUUGCACUUGAUAUUUCAGGGGACGAGAGAGCUUUAGAUGAACCACUUUUGUAUGGUGAUACUUCGCAACAUGUUGGGUCAGUUGUAAAGUAAUUUGGUCCGCCUAAUUUACAACUUCAAUUGACUGAUUACAAGGUAACUAUUGAAUAAACGCGUGUGCUGGACUCCUCGUUUAGCGGAUCACAGGCGUAACAGUUUAGAGUAACAUAUAAUAGUAACUCACUGUAAUUUCUUUCUCUUCUUUAUUACGUCAAACUAUUAUUACUCAAAUAGAUCUUUAGCUUUCCUCUUUAAUCUUUCAGCAUCUAACCCAUAUGUUUUGCUGACUUCUUUUGGUCUUUGUUCUCCACUCUUUCGGAUUAUUGAUGUUCUUCCUCUACUAUAUAGAAGUUGAAAAAUCUGUGUUGUGAGGUUCUCCUUCUUCUCUUGCUUGUUCUCUGAUUUUUUCCUUUUUUUAGUAUGUUUGAUGCUACUUUUUAACUUUGUCAAGUGUUGCAUGUAUAACAGCAUAUUCGGUUUAUAAUUUCAUUUACUAAUUUAAACUUUUUAUUUGGGAUUUUAUAUCGGGGUUCUGAGGAACGAACUAUCUAAAAGUUUCAAAUGCAAAUAAAAGUUAUUUGGAGUUUAAAGUGGAAGAGAAGGGAAGGACGGUAAAACUGCUAUACUGAUCUAGCAUAGUUCAUAUCGAGAGGUGAAAAUUUUCCUUGUUGAAAAAAUUAUAAAAGGAAUUGCGGUUAAUCAAUUGAGUUCUCUUCCUCUCUUGCAUUGUGGUCGUAUGUUUUUGCUAAUUUGUGUAAGAAAAAAGAAAAUGUAAAAAGAUUCUUUUUUUGAUCAUUUUUUCUAUAUGAGUUGGCCAAUUGGA